rnacentral:lncRNA from 1 species
UUACAUCUAAUUCCUACGAAUUUCUCCAAUUAAACCCAUAUUUCGUUCAUCCAAUAUUUCACAAUUUUCAGCAUACAUCAUUCUAAUCAGAGUCAAAUCAAUGGUUUAUCACUACCCAUUACAUGUUAACCCAUAAUACCCAUCAAACGGCGAUAAACCCCCCUUACCUGAGUUAAUCCGGCCAAUCUCUGAGCUUCAAG